rnacentral:rRNA from 1 species
GGUGGAGCAAAUCCCUAAAAGCCAUCCCAGUUCGGAUCGCAGGCUGCAACCCGCCUGCGUGAAGUUGGAAUCGCUAGUAAUCGCGGAUCAGCAUGCCGCGGUGAAUACGUUCCCGGGCCUUGUACACACCGCCCGUCACACCAUGAGAGUCGGGAACACCCGAAGUCCGUAGUCUAACCGCAAGGGGGACGCGGCCGAAGGUGGGUUCGAUAAUUGGGGUGAAGUCGUAACAAGGUAAC